GCCCGGCUGGCUCAGUCGGUAGAUCAUGUGACUCUUAAUCUCAGGGUUGUGUGUUCGAGCCCCACAUUGGGCG